GGUGCGUAACGCGUAAACAACCUACCCACAUCUGGGGGAUAGCCCGCCGAAAGGCGGAUUAAUACCGCAUAAGCUACUUGGCCGGCAUCGGUUGGAUAGUAAAGAUUUACUUGGAUGUGGAUGGGGUUGCGUGCCAUUAGCUAGUUGGUUGGGUAACGGUUGACCAAGGCGACGAUGGCUAGGGGAGCUGAGAGGCUGGUCCCCCACACGGGCACUGAGAUACGGGCCCGACUCCUACGGGAGGCAGAAGUAGGGAAUAUUGGGCACUGGACGAGAGGCUGACCCAGACAUGCCGCGUGCAGGACGAAGUGCUUUCUGAGUCGUAAACUGCU
rnacentral:rRNA from 1 species